UGAGGUGCUAGGCUGGGGAGUUAGGGGCUUCCCUUUACCAUAAUACCCUCUUUAGUGGAGUUGAAAAGCCUUAGGCGUCUAAGGGUCAUUGAAGGGGCCUGUUAGGAAUGCCUGCGAAGCCUCGCCCUGUCUGGCGGUCCAAUUAGUGAACCGGGUCAGGACGGGAACGUAGCAGCCCUAAGCUCUUUGGGUCGUGCUUUCAGGUCAACGGGGUGGAGGCGUCCUGGCAGAUAAACCCUUUUGGUGAUGCUUAGGCAAUUUUGGCCCCGCACCUCA
rnacentral:SRP_RNA from 1 species